rnacentral:rRNA from 1 species
AGAGACAGCAGUACGCGGUAAUGCGUAGGUGGCAAGCGUUGUCCGGAAUUAUUGGGCGUAAAGGGCUCGCAGGCGGUUUCUUAAGUCUGAUGUGAAAGCCCCCCGGCUCAACCGGGGAGGGUCAUUGGGAACUGGGAAACUUGAGUGCAGAAGAGGAGAGUGGAAUUCCACGUGUAGCGGUGAAAUGCGUAGAGAUGUGGAGGAACACCAGUGGCGAAGGCGACUCUCUGGUCUGUAACUGACGCUGAGGAGCGAAAGCGUGGGGAGCGAACAGGAUUAGAUACCCCCGUAGUCCCUGUCUCUUAUACA